GUGUUGGCUUCGGCAGCGCAUGGACUAAAAUUGGAACGAUACAGAGAAGAUUAGCACAGCCCCUGCGCAAGGAUGACAGGCAAAUUCGUGAAGUGUUCCGUAACAAA
ensembl:snRNA U6 U6 spliceosomal RNA